UACGAAGGGGGCUAGCGUUGCUCGGAAUUACUGGGCGUAAAGCGCACGUAGGCGGGUUCUUAAGUCGGUGGUGAAAUCCUGGAGCUCAACUCCAGAACUGCCUUCGAUACUGGGAAUCUUGAGUCCGGGAGAGGUGAGUGGAACUGCGAGUGUAGAGGUGAAAUUCGUAGAUAUCGGAAGGAACACCUGUGGCGAAAGCGGCUCACUGGACCAUAACUGACGCUGAUGCACGAAAGCUAGGGGAGCAAACAGG
rnacentral:rRNA from 1 species